rnacentral:lncRNA from 1 species
GCGCAUUUCGACAAUACAUGUCUCUUCAGUGAUGCUCGUGGCCAAAAUAUUUGAAAUUCAAAGCUUAUAUAAAAGAUGAAGAGCUAUAAUCCAAAAGGUCCAAAAAGUAUAGCCAAAUCCGUGAAAGGAAUCAGAGCUUUGCAUGAGGGAGAUACAUUCCUUAAUUUAUAAUAAUUUAUAAUAUUUUGUAACAGCAAAUUUUAAUAACACAAAAAAAUCCGUAUUUUCAUGCCAGUACCGAAGUACUGGCUACUGGGCUGGUGAUACCCUCGGGGACUAAUAGUCCACCAGCAGAGGCAUCGAC